GUAAAUAUAGUUUACUAAAACACUAGGCUGUGACCCUAGAGACAGAAGCCAUCCCUUCUUAUUUACC
rnacentral:tRNA from 1 species